rnacentral:lncRNA from 1 species
UUAAAAGAGCCCAUUUUCCAGGUUCCAGACUGUUGGAAAUAUAUGCUGAUUCCUGGGAGUAGGGGCAGGAAUUAUUACAUGAAAAAGUCCCAGUCAUUGGAAGAAUCCCAUAACCUCCCUGAUGAGCGAUGGCUACCCUUCACUUGAGGUCUGGUAGGGAAGGGUAGCUGUCCUGGCCCCUUUUACAUAGGUUCCUCAUGCCUCAUCCUGACCAUAACCCUGUGUGUGUGUCUCUGUUACACACACCCCACCCACACCACUGUGAGCUCCUGAAUGGCAGGGAGAGGAACUUCCUUAUAUCUCUGUCCCCUCAGUGCCCAGCUGGAUGCCUGGCUCAGAGCAGAGACUUGAUAAGUGUUGGUUGAUUGAAUAAGUGCCAUCUCACCAAGCCCAGAAUAUACCUUGUCUUAAUCUCUAUCUUCAGGGCCAAGUUCAAUGCCUGGCACUUAACUUGGUGCUCAAUAAUGUUAGGAAAAAAUGAGCUCAUAAUCACCAUCCUUUAAUUAUGAUUGUUAUGUUUUUACUUUUAGCUAAAUGCUAUUUCCACCUCCCCUCCCCUCCCCAUGACUUCUGUUUUAUCUGUUCACUCACUAAAGCAUAGUAUCCUGAAUGCCUAUUAUGGCCCCAAGCCCUGACGUAGGUACUUGGUGUAUACAGGUGAGUGAAAGAGGCAAAGUCCUUGCCCUACUGGAAUUUACAGUCAAGUAGUAGAACAGUGUUUGGCACAAAGUGUUAGCUGCUCUUAUUAUUACUUCUGUCAUCUUAUUUUUUCCCCUGUAAAUGUGAGACUUCUCAGUUUACCAGAUGUCUCUUUUUCUGUGUCCUACCUCUAUUGCACUAUAGUACUUUUUUUUUUUUUUUUAAGUUUUCUGUAGGUACUUUUCUUCCUUAGAAGCCCAAGUUCUGAUUUUUCUUUCUUUCAGCUCACAUGUACAGGUCUCUUGCUCUGAGCCUAGGGGCUAUGCUGGGCACGUGCUGUAGGACCCAGUGCCUGCCCUCGGAUCACAGCCACAAAACCACACUUUCGUUUACUCACCACCGUCCUUUCUCUUUCUCUCUCUGUCUUUUCCAGGGACACAGACUUCAUCUGGACGGGUUGUCUGCUUUGCUGAGGCUUUCAGUUUGCUGCUCCAGAGUUCCUGGAGGCAACCCGAUUUCUCCUGGGAUGGUCACUGAAGUCAAAUUUAAGUGGAGCAGAGCCCCUGCUGGGUGGCAUGUAAAAGCAAGGCUGGCAUGACGCUUGUCAAGCAUUGGCUGUCAAGAGCGGACACGCUCAGAUGGGCACCUCGCCAUCCGGCAGCCUGACAGUGAUGGCUCAGAAACCACUUUUCCUGACGCGGGGCUUUGACACGCCAGCUCACACUGUGAGCACAGUGACCCUGCCCUGUUUCAAAAACUGACAGCAGACAAACCUGGAACAUCACCUCCCCUCUGAGUGAGCCCAGGAAAACACAAAUCUCCGUCCUUAGCGCCUCACGUCCUGCUCAAGGAUUUGUGAGCUGGGUUGCACAGAGGAGGAGGGAAGGGGAAAGAGCUAACACCUGGCAGGUGCCUGCUGAGUGUCUUGCUCAAGACAUUUCCCAUUUCUUUGCGUUUCUGUUUCUCACGAAGCACCUAUCUCUGCAAGCUCAUGGCUCUCUCUGGUAAGCGCUGGACUCCUCCACCCCCUGGCAUUGGGCUGUCUUGAUAAUCCCUCACAUUUGUCUGGUCUCCUCCAAGCAUCGUUUUAUUCACUCUCCCAAAAAAUGUCUAUGAGGGACAAAAAAACCCUGUAGGCUCUUAUGCAUGGACUCUGAAACAGCUGAGUAUGUAGGAGCAGACAGUUAGAAUGGUGUUUACUGGGGGUGGGAGGUGGGGGAAACAGGAGACAUUGGUCGAAGGGUACAAGGUUGUUGUUAUGUGGGGUGAGUUAGUCUAGAGGUCUAGUGCAUGGCAUGGUACCUAUCUAAUAGUGCUGUGUGGGAUGCUGGAAACAUGCUAAGAGAAUAGAAAUCCGGGGCUUUCAUCACAAAGGUAACUGAGAUGAUGUGUUAGUUAGCUUGACUGUGGUAAGCAUUUCGUUAUGUGUAUCAAAUAAGCCAAAAAAAUCCUGUGAGCUGUGGAGAGCAGAGAUGAUUUCCUCAUUUCUCAAUGCUCCAUAAGAGCGUCUGUCUGUUUGAUCAUCCAUCUAUCCAUCCCUUCAUUCAUUCAAUAAAUAUUUAUUACACUAUGAUAUUCUAGGACCUUUGCAAGUCACUGGUGAAGCAAAGGUAUCUAGAAAGCUCUUGGGAGCAAUAUAUACAUACAAGAAAAGGAGGUAUCAUUUUGAGGCUUUUAAGUAGAAAGCCAUGUAUUUGGAGAAUAGGGUAGUGGGGUGUUAUUGCAGGUUGUGACCAGUAGGUGGCACUCUGGGUCACAGGAGGCUUAGAGCCCUUUAGCCUUCCGCCGCUAAGCUUUCAUUUUAUAUUCAUUAGUGUAUUUAAAAUCAAAUUCUAAGUCAUAUCCCUGAAAGGCUGUAUUCAAUUGGAUUUUAAUUCCAUUCAUUUGCCGUUAAUUGUUCCAUGCUCUUCUAAAACAGUCAAAUUAAAUCUGCCCGUGUCGGGGCUUUGUGGAUAAGUGAAAGAUAUCCGAGAACUUCAGACUCCAGAGUAAACGAGCACCUCCUGUUCUAGGUCCCAGAUUCCUCUCUUAGGAAAUGCUAAUGAAAAGUUAAUGCUAUUGGGAGAAGAUCGGGAAGGAUGCACUAAGAUGUUAGUGGUAAUAUCUCCUAGUGGUGGGAAUACCGAUGGUUGGUUUGUUUCAUGUUGGUUUGUCCUUUGUUCAGUUUUUACAGUGGGCAUGUGUGAGUUUUCUUGUUUGUUUGUAUUUAGUUUUUCAUUGAAGUACAACCUACAAAAGGAAGAUAUGUAAAUGGUAAGCAGUUUGGAUUUAUAUGUUUAUAUAUAUAACCUCCACUUAGAUCAAGAUAUACGUUGCCUAAGCCCCUCACAUUUCUCUUGGAUCUCUUCCCUCCCCUCCCCGGCUAGGAGCCUCUCUUCUGUCACCAUGGGUUGGUUUUGAGUAUUUUGCACUUCGUGUAAUUGGAGUCAUACAGGCUGUCUUCUUUCGUGCCCAACUUUUGUUCAAUAUCAUUUAAGUCGAUGUAUGUAAACACAGUAAAGACUCGCCAAUCUUUCCUACUGUUUUGUGUAGCAGAAGUCUGUUCUUCGUUGGUGUGCAGUAUUCCAUUGUAGGAAUAUGUUGCAGGUCUGUAUUUUCAUAAUCAGAAAGAAGUUUACUUAAAAUGCUUACAUAUAGACACAGAAACUUGCUGGAGGCCAAGGAGACAUUUCAACUGCAAGAUCAUCUUCCCAGUAUGCGGGUGUAGAUAGCCAUCCAGGAAUUGGCUCAGGCCCAGAAGCGCACGGCAUCAUCGACUCAACGGACGUGAGUUCGAGCAAACACCAGGAGAUGGUGAAGGACAGGGAGGCCUGGCAUGCUGCAAUCCAUGGGGUCGCAAAGAGUCGGGCAUGACUGAGUGACUGAACAACAGCAAGAGAAGUGCAGGGUCUUUGAGUGGAUGCGGACACAGCUAACUGUGGGGCAGCAGCUGAGGCUAGUUCUGCUUCUCCCACUGGCUGUGUAGCCUUGGGGCAAGUCACUUGUUCUCACUGAGCCUCAGUUUCCUCGUCUGUAAAAUGGGUAACGUUACCAGACUUAGAGGAAGAAAAGAAGGAAAACCCCAGAACAUCCAGUCAAGUCUGAAUUUCGGAUUAAACAGUAAUUUCUUAGAAUAAAUAUGUCCUGACUAUCCUAAAGAAUUACUGUUUAUUUCCAAUUCAAAUGUAGUUGUGUUUUAUCCAACAAACACAGGUGUAAAACAUUCCCUGCUCCAUAAUAACACAAUUGUGACAGAGUGUGGGCAGAAAGCUAUGUACAGGUGAAAGAAACUAGAGAGGGCCAGAAGGGCAGGGAGGAGGACCCCGGGGUUUGGAAACGGAGCCCCGUGAGCCUCUGUAGGACAGGAACCUUGCUCUCACCCACCCCACCAACCCCAGUGCCCGGCCACAUGGCUGGCCCCGGGAAGGAGGCGCAGACAUGUUAUCUGUUGAACUAACGGCUGAAUGGAUUUGCUUUCCAGUUCCUGCACUUACUUGACUUUGACCUUGGGUAAGCUAGCUAACCAACUCUGUUUCUGUUGUGUGUGUGUGUGUUUUUAAUGCGUUCCUCUAACACUUCUUUCAGGGAGCCCUAACUCUGUGCCAGGUACUAGGCAGAGACAAUGAACCAAGGAGGUUUCUGCCCUCCUGGAGUUUAUUUUAUUAAGAGGGAAGAGGGAAAUUAAACAGGUAAAGCACAUAGAAAAAAAGACACUUUCUGAUAGCGAUGAGUGCUGUGCUAGAAAUAAAUAGGAUGUGUAACAGAGAGGGUCAGAAGUGCUAUUUGGAUGCGGGGUUUGGGGGAGGGACGUCCUGAGAAGGUGAUGCUGAGCAGAGACCCCUCCCUCCCAACCGUCACCCCCCGGGGCUGAUGAGGAAUCAGUCCAGGGAAGGGGCCUUCUGGGCUGAGGGAAAAGCAGGUUUUCUUACUUGAAUCCUGAGGAUGAGAAAACCUACUGCCCACCUCACAGAACUAUAAGGGGUUGAAUAAAGGAAGGUUGGUGUGUGAAAUCUUCAAGUUCUCUGUGUGAAAGGGAUUCUGAACUUUUCUCAUGGAACCUCAGCCCUGCUCCCCAGGCCCCCUGGAAACUCAGGACGGUUUGAUUCUUUAGCUGUGAGUGCAGACCUGCUCAGUACCAUCUGGAUGGCAUGGUUUCCACCAGUCUGGUGAGAUAUGUACAAACUGAAAGUGUUCGAAAACUCUGACACUGUGGAGUGCAGAUGGUAUCUUAUAAUUUUUUUUCAUUUUAUUUUUCUAUUAUCAGUUUGGGAUGGACCAAGAAAGAAGCAAACACCCUAGCUGUCCUUCAUCACAGACGGUUUGGAAAGCACUGGUGUAGAAGCUAUAGGAUGAGAAAAAUCUGGGCUUUAUUGCAGCUCAGUCACUUACUAACUGGCUGAUGUUAAUUCAAGUGUAUUAUCUCCCUGUGCCUUGGUGCCUUCACGUAUAAAAUGGGCUUAAUAGUGCACAUCCAUCAAAGCUUUGCAACAUCAAUGAAGAAGCAAGUAUAAAGCACGCAGUACAGGGAGUAGUACCAAAAUGUUCACUGCUAUUACUCUAGUCGGAGAAGGCAAUGGCACCCCGCUCCAGUACACUUGCCUGGAAAAUCCCAU